rnacentral:tRNA from 1 species
GGUGCUUUGCCCGAGCGGUCGAAGGGGUUAGAUUCAAGUUGUUCUUGCGCGUCAAUGCGUUACAUGAACCCUAAUAUUUCACGCGUGGGUUCGAAUCCCACAGGCACCA